AACGAACGCUGGCGGCAUGCCUAACACAUGCAAGUCGAACGAAGGCUUCGGCCUUAGUGGCGCACGGGUGAGUAACGCGUAGGAAACUGCCUAUUGGUGGGGAAUAACGACGGGAAACUGUCGCUAAUACCGCAUAAGCCCUUCGGGGGAAAGAUUUAUCGCCGAUAGAUGUGCCCGCGUCCGAUUAGCUAGUUGGUGGGGUAAUGGCUCACCAAGGCGACGAUCGGUAGCUGGUCUGAGAGGAUGAUCAGCCACACUGGGACUGAGACACGGCCCAGACUCCUACGGGAGGCAGCAGUGGGGAAUAUUGGACAAUGGGCGAAAGCCUGAUCCAGCAAUGCCGCGUGAGUGAUGAAGGCCUUAGGGUUGUAAAGCUCUAUCGGGUGGGACGAUGAUGACGGUACCACCAGAAGAAGCCCCGGCUAACUUCGUGCCAGCAGCCGCCGUAA
rnacentral:rRNA from 1 species